rnacentral:lncRNA from 1 species
AGAUGUCAUGAAUAUUCUUAAAGUUGAAAUUCUAAGAACCAUCAGGUGUAUCGCCAAGGAGACUGGUAGACGACUUGGUAAGGGACAAACAUUUUCCCUUCUUCUUUGCUUGGUGUGCACAAGGAUUUAUCUAUAGCAACUUACUGUAUUUAAGAGUGCACAGAGAAAGCUAUGUGUUUGACAAAGUUUUCCUAGAUUACGAGUGAAGAACCAAUACGAGAAUUUUCCGGUAAGCGGCGGCAACUCUAUUUCGCUUUUGGUUAUGAGCUUGAACGACGAAGAUGACGCCUUCAAAAUAUUUAAAUAAUUAGUUUUUAGGUCUUAACCUCUUAUGGUCUUUCAUUUAACUAAAAGCAAAUACACCAUAUAACUAUCUAUCCAUCUGUAUAUAAAAUAUUAAAUUUAAUAUUAAAGGAUUGCACAAGACACUAUAAUCAUCGGUGGGCAUAAUUGAUUUUUG